GUGCGGUCAGUUCAUCAGGAAGCCUCCUUUUACGCGGAUCGGGCAGAAACAGUUCCGACUUAACGAGCGGCUCCGGUGCGUGCAAGAACACGGGGAGACGGUGGUACAGGUGCGCGUCCUGGAGUGCGUUUUCCGGGUUUGUCUUUUCCGGCCAUGUAGGGCGCUGAAGCGGACCUCCCAUUGUACCGUGAAGUAGUCUCCAAAGAAGACAGACAAACAUCAACAUGAUCUGGAAAACAGGAGCAACAAGGAGGACAAGUGCUGGAAGUGGCGACCAGUGGAGAGGCAGGACAAAGCCUUGGAAUUUACAUUUUAUCAGCUGGACUGAAAGCAAAUCGGAAGAGUCAAAGGAAACAGAGAAGCUUCAGAUAUUUAUGUGCCUGUUUGUGUCAGCUGAGCAAGAUGAAUAAAGACAGACCCAAACGGAAUAUCAUCAAAAAAAAAUAUGACAUCAGCGACGGAAUGCCGUGGUGUGAAGAACGACUGGUUCGCAAAGUUCUUUUCCUCUCCCUCAGGGAAUUCAGAGACAAACACCGUGCCACACACAAACACUCACACAUCACUCACAAACGCACACACAAAGGCACGCUGAAAAACGCGCUCUUACACGCUCCACAGAAGACACUGAAACUACCGAAAGCAGACACACAGAAAAACACGCGCACAAGAAAGAUUGCGCAUAAGCAGCAUAAAGUCGCACGCAGACGAGCGAACGCACAUACGCAGAAAAAUACUGCACAAAAUAUGCACAUUUCAAAACACCUACACUCUCAAGAACGCACAAACAAAGGGCAAGAUACUGACUUGUCUCAGGAUUCACACCAACCAAAAAGUAAAUGCACUCACACGCUACCGAACAUGCAAACACAAUCAAAAUUGUAUACAGGGAAAGUUUCACACGGUGUACAGCACACACACCUUCAGCACGUUUUCCAGAAGAGCUCUUUAUCGACCAGGACGCUACGCUCACACACGACGCAGAACGCGCCG